rnacentral:rRNA from 1 species
AUGGCGCUACUGCAACCCAGCUUCAACGGAGCGCUGCUCGACAAGGACGACGACGACUCCCUCUCCCCGGGCAGCUACAAGUGCACCAAUCCAGCGGUGGCCAAGAUGAUGCGGCUUUGGAACUACAAGGACGGCUCCGGGCUUGGCGCACAAGGCCAAGGCAUCAUCGUCCCAAUACAACCCGCCGCACGUCGUCGUCGUCGCAGGGCCGGCAUCGGACAUUGCGACAAGCCUUACGACAACGGCCUGCAGGUCGCGCCGCCGCCGUCGCCGGUGGAAGGCGACUUAGACGAGUGCCGUGAGUGGGAGGCUGUCGCAGGAGCCCUGCGGCUGGAACGAGAGUGCCACGAGAAGACUCUGACGCUGCUGCAAGAGAUGCAACUUCAAGGGGACAGCAGCGUGGAGACGGCGGACGCUCUGGCGGCCAUCGUCAAGUCCGGAGAGGUGCUCCAGGGGAAGCGCGCGCUAGGGGCGUGGAAGGCGGCGUUGCCUCCUUCCACCGUGCGCUACAUCGUCGACAAGGUUCUCCCGCCGAGGCUCGCCAUGGAAGCCCAACAGUGGCGCCCGUCGUGGGACCCGGACUGCGACGAUUGGCUGCGCCCCUGGAUUCCCCUGAUCGGCCACCUGCCGGAGAGCCUCUACGACAUCGUGGAGAGCAAGAUCAGCGGCGCCAGCCACGACAUAGUCUGGCCGUGGAAAGACUACUUCGACCCGGCGCACUGGGAAAUCUUCGUCAGGCGCCACAUCCUGCCUGAGCUGACACGGCUGAUGCGGGAGCUGAGGAUCACGCCCCCAAAGCAAACGGACAGCUCGUUGCACAUGGUGAUGCUGUGGGCGCCGCUCCUGCCCGCCAAAGACGUGCUGUCGAUCUUGGAAGAAGCGGAGUUCUUCGACAAAUGGGAGAGCGCGCUGCGCCACUGGCUGCAAUCCGCGAAGCCGUCGUACGGGGAGGCCGUCGCAUGGUGCACCGGCUGGAAGAAGCUCUUCACCCCGGAGCUGCUCGCCGACGAGCACGUGCUCGCCCGUCUGGACGCCGGCGCUGCCAUGGUGGAUCAAGAAACGCAAGACCUCGACAGCCUUCUUGGGUAUAGCUGGUAG